CGUACUGGCGGGUGGAGCGGUUCCACCGUGAACGGGACAACACCAGUCAACUUGAAAAAAAAAACAAUUAUAGGGGUCGAAGUGAGUGCUACCCGUUGUGUUGGAAGAUACGGUACAAGUGAUGUCUCCGCCCUAUUUCGACGCUUAUAUUAAGUCACGUCGAGAAACAAGUUUCUACUGAAACAGGUAAACACUGCCUUCAGAGAAGACAAAUCACGAAACUCAAACGUACCGAAAGCUGAUUCUUAUCUCUAGAGGUUGUAUUACUAAAUAUUCAUAGAAGACAAACAUCACAUCACUGAAACAUGGAGGAAGCCAAUUCUUGUUUUUAGGAGGGUCCACUUCUAAAUUUUAUCUUCAGAGAAGACAAACAUCACGCCACUUAAACAUGGAGAAAGCAAAUUCUUAUCUUCAGAGAAGACAAAAAUCACACCACUGAAAAAUGGAGGAAGCUAAUUCCUGUUUAUAGGAGGGU
rnacentral:lncRNA from 1 species